rnacentral:lncRNA from 1 species
AGACUGGAUCGCGCUCUGCUGCACUGCGCUGGGGACGGCGGAGGGCUCUGGGCGUGGGCCCCGCGGCUCGGGGGCGGGUCCCGGCUGGAGGUAGAUGUGAAGCUCUGGCUGCCCGGGGGAGGCGGCCGGGCGGUUGAGACAGUCGCUUGGGAAACCUAGCAGCUGCUCAGGAGCGAGAACAGAGCUCCGGAGCCGCACGCAGCACAAGUCUGGAGCCCCAGGCAGCCGAGGAGCCCACGCCCACGCGCUCCCACUUCCGCUCCGGGACCCCCGGGACCCCUCUUCAGGAACUCGGGCAGAGUCGUCAGCCAGCUCCAGGGAGGUUUGGGCCCGUCAGGCUUGAGUCGAGACCUGCAUCAUUCCUGAAGACAAAAGCAGCUUCCCUUUCCUCCACACUUGAAAAGGUCACCCGCAACCUGUCCCUCCGGGGGACGCCCGGAAAAACAUGGAUACAACUCGGGACUUCCUACUAGAGAACCCUUUUUUUUUUUUUUUUUUUUUUUUUUUUUUUUUUAAUGAGACAGAGUUUUGCUCUUGCCGCCCAGGCGGGAGUGCAAUGGCGCGAUCUCAGCUCACUGCAACCUCUGCCUCCCGGUUCAAGCGAUUCUCCUGCCUCAGCCUCCCGAGUAGCUGGAAUUACAGGUGCACGCCACCACGCCCGGCUAAUUUUUGUAUUUUUAGUAGAGACGGGUUUUCACCAUGUUGGCCAGGCUAGUCUCGAACUCCUGACCUUAAGCGAUCCGCCCGCCUCGGCCUCCCAAAGUGCUGGGAUUACAGGCUUGAGUCACCACACCCUGCCGAGAACUCUUUUUAAAAUGAUCCCAACCUGCUCUCAAUCGUCUUGAAUUAGUACCACACAAAAAAUUUACGAGCUCAAAGCCCACACACCGCCAUCUGCAACAUUUCGAUAUAAUCCAGGAAUUCAGAACUGAAGCCACUUAAACUGAAUUCGCUUAAAUGCAAGGCAGAUAAAAUGACUAAAGCCAUUUUUUAAAGGAUUUUAGGGCGGUAUGGGGGAGGUGCUCCCUGUAAAUGGGCUGAUGGGACAGUUUUAGAUAGCAUUUGUCUUUCCUUUUAGCUGUUAAAAAUUGUAAGUCUAAACAGCUGAGAAUUUAGCAGAGAUCAUGAAAGUUGACCUAUUAGAGAUCCUGGUACUUACUAAUCUGUCUCCUGUUAGGCCAGAAACCACCAGGAAAAAGCCUGUACUCCGAUAACGUCAGGCCAAUUUGUAAAUCAGGAGGGAGGGCACUCCAAAGGAAGCUUGGAAUGCCACUGGAAAAGGAAAGAGGAAGCCUCCUUUGUAAGAUUAGUUUCCCGCCAAAGGAGUCUGAGGAGGGUCUAAGGAGAGCCAGAAUCAGUUCUGCAUGGGACGCCGUUUCCGUGGCGGCAUGAAGAAAAGCUGGGAUUUACGAGGGAUUGGAUGCUGUCUUGAGGAUACAGCAAUUUAGUAAUUAGGUACCUCCAGUAAUAAAGUAGCAACACUAGUAAGAGCAGCAGUUACUCAAAGAGGGGUGAAUAUGGCGUGUCAUAGCUACUGCACGGCUGUGGGAGAAAGAAGUUUCUCAGUUAACUUUGCUGCUGGCUUUUUCUGUAUCUGUCCUCCCAGCACAACUACUUUUUCUCAUUUCAGUCCGAGCUGAUUUUCAUUCUGUUCGUCCUGGCCCAAACUAGGAGUCAUCUUUUACAGCUAGAUAGUCUCAGGGUCGGCCCUUG